CUAUAUCUAUAUUAUUCAUGUAUUAAGAAAAUAUUAUCAUUAUUUAUUAUAAUCAUGAUUUUAUGUAGCUAUGUAAGUCCGUUUUCGAAUGUUUUAUAAAAAAUGUCCUUAAAGAAAUAAUAGUUUCGCAAAUCUUUGCCCCUUUACAUACCUACUCUGAAGGAACUAAACUAAGUACAAAGCCCGUUUUUAGUUUUCACUUAGCAGAGAAAAAUAUAUUCGUGUGAGUUUUAACGUGUUAUAAAGGAAACUUUAAAAAUAUGUAUUUAUAAUAUUAAAACUAGGUACCUAUCUUAUUUUAUUUUGUAGGUUUAGAACAUCAACAAGAUAGAGUCAAAGUCCUUGCUAAUUGGGAAGAUCUUAAAACACAAUUCUAUGAGGAACUGUCACAGAGUAUACACGAAAUGAAGUAUUCUGAAGAAUAUCUUACUGCAUCAAAAUUUUGCGAGAAAACAAAAGCCGAAGAAAGAAAAAAAAAU